rnacentral:rRNA from 1 species
AGAGUUUGAUCAUGGCUCAGGACGAACGCUGGCGGCGUGCCAUUAUACAUGCAAGUAGAACGCUGAAGAGAGGAGCUUGCUCUUCUUGGACUGAGUUGCGAACGGGUGAGUAACGCGUAGGUAACCUGCCUUGUAGCGGGGGAUAACUAUUGGAAACGAUAGCUAAUACCGCAUAACAAUGGAUGACACAUGUCAUUUAUUUGAAAGGGGCAAUUGCUCCACUACAAGAUGGACCUGCGUUGUAUUAGCUAGUAGGCGAGGUAAUGGCUCACCUAGGCGACGAUACAUAGCCGACCUGAGAGGGUGAUCGGCCACACUGGGACUGAGACACGGCCCAGACUCCUACGGGAGGCAGCAGUAGGGAAUCUUCGGCAAUGGGGGCAACCCUGACCGAGCAACGCCGCGCGAGUGAAGAAGGUUUUCGGAUCGUAAAGCUCUGUUGUAAGUCAAGAACGGGUGUGAGAGUGGAAAGUUCACACUGUGACGGUAGCUUACCAGAAAGGGACGGCUAACUACGUGCCAGCAGCCGCGGUAAUACGUAGAUCCCGAGCGUUGUCCGGAUUUAUUGGGCGUAAAGCGAGCGCAGGCGGUUUGAUAAGUCUGAAGUUAAAGGCUGUGGCUCAACCAUAGUUCGCUUUGGAAACUGUCAAACUUGAGUGCAGAAGGGGAGAGUGGAAUUCCAUGUGUAGCGGUGAAAUGCGUAGAUAUAUGGAGGAACACCGGUGGCGAAAGCGGCUCCCUGGUCUGUAACUGACGCUGAGGCUCGAAAGCGUGGGGAGCGAACAGGAUUAGAUACCCUGGUAGUCCACGCCGUAAACGAUGAGUGCUAGGUGUUGGAUCCUUUCCGGGAUUCAGUGCCGCAGCU